ACUCCUACGGGAGGCAGCAGUCGAGAAUUUUUCACAAUGGGGGAAACCCUGAUGGAGCGACGCCGCGCGGAGGAUGAAGGCCUUCGGGUUGUAAACUCCUGUCAUGCGGGAACAAGAAAGUGAUAGUACCGCAAGAGGAAGAGACGGCUAACUCUGUGCCAGCAGCCGCGGUAAU
rnacentral:rRNA from 1 species